UACGUAGGGGGCAAGCGUUGUCCGGAAUCAUUGGGCGUAAAGCGCACGUAGGCGGCCCGGUAAGUCCGUUGUGAAAGUCAGAGGCUCAACCUCUGGAGGCCAAUGGAUACUGCCGGGCUAGAGUCCGGAAGAGGCGAGUGGAAUUCCUGGUGUAGCGGUGAAAUGCGCAGAUAUCAGGAGGAACACCAAUGGCGAAGGCAGCUCGCUGGGACGGUACUGACGCUGAGGUGCGAAAGCGUGGGGAGCAAACAGG
rnacentral:rRNA from 1 species